GGGCCGUUAGCUCAGUUGGUAGAGCGCAUCAUUCGCAUUGAUGAGGUCGGGGGUUCGAAUCCCCCACGGUCCA
rnacentral:tRNA from 9 species